rnacentral:rRNA from 1 species
CUGCUGCCUCCCGUAGGAGUCUGGUCCGUGUCUCAGUACCAGUGUGGGGGACCUUCCUCUCAGAACCCCUACGCAUCGUCGGUUAGGUGGGCCGUUACCCCGCCUACUGCCUAAUGCGCCGCAUGCCCAUCCCUGUCCGGCCGAAGCCUUUCCUGUCUCCGGGAUGCCCCGGUGGCAUGUACGCGGGUUUAGCCCGCCUUUCGGCGGGUUGUCCCCCUGACAGGGGCAGGUUGCAUACGUGUUACUCACCCGUGCGCCGGUCGCCGGCGGAGAAAG